AGAUGAUUUUCUUCUUCUUUGAGGAAGGACUGUAUUGUUAUGAACUUCCCUCUGAGAACAGCUUUUGCAGCAUCCCAUAGAUUUUGACUGAUUGUGUUUUCUCUGUCAUUUAUCUCAAGUUUCAUGCCAUUGUGGUCAGAGAAGAUGCUUGAAGAAAUUUCUUUACUCUGAAAUUUGUUGACUUCAGUUAUAUGCCCCCAUAUGCAGUGAGUCCAUGAGACUAUUCCACAUGCACUUGAAAAGAAUGUAUAUUCUGAUAGUUUUGGAUGUAAUGUAUACAUUUGGGUAUAAAGUCCUGAAAAUAUCAUUAAGCGUAAUGUUUCUUUUGUGUCAUUGAAGAUCUUGUUUGGCUUACUGAUAUUCAGUCCCAAGGACCUGUGCAUUGAUGUGAGUGGGGUGUUAAAAUCUCCUCUAACCUUAUUGUAUCCCCCUCAAUUUGUCUUUUUAUGUCUGUUAGUAUUAAUUUUAUGUAUUUGAGUGCUCUUAUUUUAGAGGCAUAUAUAUUGAUGAUUGUAAUAUCCUCUUACAUUUUCCUUUUAUCAUUAGUGUCCUACUUUGCUUUUCUUUAUGGCCUUUGUUUUAAAGCCUACUUUGUCUGAGGUGAAUGUUACAAAGACUUGCUUCCUUGUCUUUUCCAUUCACAUGAUAUAUCAUUUUCCAUUCCCUCAGUUUCAGUUUAUAUGGGUCUUUGCCCUCAGUUGUGUCUCUUGGAGGCAGCAUAUUGUAGGCUUUUUGUUUUUUAAUCCAGUCUGCCACUGUCUUUUGAUUGGAGUAUUCAGUCCAUUGACAUUUAAGGUGAUUAUUGAAAAAUAUGUAUUUAUUGUGUUUUAAAACUCAUGUCCCAGUUGAGUUAGUGUUUCACUUUGUUUCAUUCCUUUCUUAUCUUUUUCAUUCUUUCUUUCUUGGAUGAUUUCCUUUUACUUUAGGGUUGUUUUCUCUUCUUUUUGGUUUUGGUGAAUUAGUGUUUGGUUUGGAUAUGUGGUUGCAAUUGUUUUUCAAGUAUGUUAACCCCUCCCUAUAUCUGCUCAUCAGUCCUCAACUGACAUUAUAAGAAAUAUUCAAAGGUCUUCUUGCAGUGAAAAAGAAAAGACUACAAGAAAUAAUGGGAGUUCCCAUUGCAGCUCAUUGGUAACAUACCCGACUCAUAUCCAUGAGGACAUGGGCUUGUUCCUUGGCCUCACUCAGUGGAUUAAGGACCUUGUGUUGCCCUGAGCUAUGGUGCAGGCUGGCAGCUACAGCUCCACUGGCCCCUAACAUGGGAACUGCCAUAGGCCACAGGUGUAGCUCCCAAAAAAGACAAAAGAUAGAUAAGAAUGGAUAGCAAGGGGAAAAUCCGACUUUAAAGGCAAAAAAUGGAAGUUCCCAUUGUGGCUUAGCAGGUUAAGAACCCAGCUCAUAUCCAGGAGGCUGCAUGGUUAAUUCCUAGCCUCACUGUGUUAAGGAUCUGGUAUAGGGACAAGCUGCAGCACGGGUCACAGAUGUGGCUCAGAUGUUGCAUUUCUGUGUCUGAAGUGUGGUCCAGAAGCUGCAGCUGUGAUUCCACCCCCAGCUCUGGUGUCAAAUCAUAUGCUGUGUUCAUAGCCCUAAAAAAAAAAAAAAAAGAAAGAA